rnacentral:rRNA from 1 species
UACGUAGGGUGCAAGCGUUGUCCGGAAUUAUUGGGCGUAAAGAGCUCGUAGGCGGUUCGUCGCGUCGGCUGUGAAAACCCGAAGCUCAACUCCGGGCCUGCAGUCGAUACGGGCGGACUUGAGUGUUGCAGGGGAGACUGGAAUUCCUGGUGUAGCGGUGAAAUGCGCAGAUAUCAGGAGGAACACCGGUGGCGAAGGCGGGUCUCUGGGCAACUACUGACGCUGAGGAGCGAAAGCGUGGGGAGCGAACAGG